rnacentral:rRNA from 1 species
CAUCCGUAGCCGGCUUUGUUAGUUUUCGGUUAAAUCCAUGUGCUCAACACAUGGGCUGCCGAAAAUACUGCAUAGCUAGGGAGUGGAAGAGGUAGACGGUACUCAGUAGGAAGGGGUAAAAUCCUUUGAUCUAUUGAUGACCACCUGUGGCGAAGGCGGUCUACCAGAACACGUUCGACGGUGAGGGAUGAAAGCUGGGGGAGCAAACCGGAUUAGAUACCCGGGUAGUCCCAGCUGUAAACGAUGCAGACUCGAUGAUGCAUUGGCAUAUAGCCAUUGCAGUGUCGCAGGGAAGCCGUUAAGUCUGCCGCCUGGGAAGUACGUACGCAAGUAUGAAACUUAAAGGAAUUGGCGGGGGAGCACCACAAGGGGUGAAGCCUGCGGUUCAAUUGGAGUCAACGCCAGAAAUCUUACCCGGAGAGACAGCAGAAUGAAGGUCAAGCUGAAGACUUUACCAGACAAGCUGAGAGGUGGUGCAUGGCCGUCGCCAGCUCGUGCCGUGAGAUGUCCUGUUAAGUCAGGUAACGAGCGAGAUCCCUGCCGCUAGUUGCUAUCAUUAUUCUCAGGAAUAGUGGGGCGAAUUAGUGGGACUGCCGUUGUUAAAACGGAGGAAGGAAGGGGCUACGGCAGGUCAGUAUGCCCCGAAACUCUGGGGCCACACGCGGGCUGCAAUGGUAGUGACAAUGAGUUCCAAACUCGAAAGAGAGUGGUAAUCUCUAAACGCUACCACAGUUAUGACUGAGGGCUGUAACUCGCCCUCACGAAUAUGGAAUCCCUAGUAACCGCGUGUCAUUACCGCGCGGUGAAUACGUCCCUGCUCCUUGCACACACCGCCCGUCGUUUCAUCGAAGUUUGCUUUUAGCGGAGGUGAUGUUUAAUGGCAUAUCGAACUGAGGAAGGAACAGGC